AGGCCUGUAGCUCUAACUGGCAGAGCACCGGACUCCAAAUUCGGGUGUUGGGGGUUCGAAUCCCUCCAGGCCUG
rnacentral:tRNA from 1 species